rnacentral:rRNA from 1 species
AUGCUUCAUUAUACCGGACAUGCAUCAUACUUGAUUGUGCAUCAUGCCAUGAUUCAUGUGUUGGUUGUUUACUAUGUUGUUUGCUCCUUUCCGGUGUUGCUUCUUCGGGUUGGUUCUGAUAACGUCGCGUUUGUGAGGACCCGUUCGACUACGUCAGUUUGUCUUCUUCAUGGACUCAUUCUUCUUCCUUGCGGGAUUUUAGGCAAGAUGACCAUACCCUCGAAAUCACUUCUAUCUUUGCUUGCUAGUUGCUCGCUCUUUUGCUAUGCCUAUGCUGCGAUACUGACCACUUGCUUAUCAUGCCUCCCAUAUUGUUAA